rnacentral:antisense_RNA from 1 species
CCUCGUCUUCUUCUUCGUCGGAUUCAUCAGAGUGGUGGU